rnacentral:rRNA from 1 species
CCUACGGGGGGCAGCAGCAAGGAAUUUUCGUCAAUGGGGGAAACCCUGAACGAGCAACGCCGCGUGGGCGAAGAAGUCCUUCGGGAUGUAAAGCCCUUUUCCCUGUGAAACGGUAGCAGGGGAAUAAGCAUCGGCUAACUACGUGCCAGCAGCCGCGGUAAUACGUAGGAUGCAAGCGUUGUCCGGAAUUAUUGGGCGUAAAGAGCGCGCAGGCGGUUUUACAAGUCAGAUGUGAAAGAGGUCGGCUUAACCGGAAGGGUCAUUUGAAACUGUAAGACUAGAGUACAGCAGAGGAUAGCGGAAUUCCCGGUGUAGUGGUGAAAUGCGUAGAUAUCGGGAGGAACACCAGUGGCGAAGGCGGCUAUCUGGGCUGAACUGACGCUGAGGCGCGAAGGCUAGGGUAGCAAACAGGAUUAGAUACCCUUGUAGUC